rnacentral:misc_RNA from 1 species
AAGUCGUAACAAGGUUUCCGUAGGUGAACCUGCGGAAGGAUCAUUACUGAGUGGCUGUAUUCGCGAUUCUCUUCGGAGAGGCGAAGCUACCCGACCUGAUGUCAUUCUAUCCGAGGGCGCGUCCGCAUGAGACAGCGGUUCGACGUUGGAGGUACCCGGACGAGGCGCUUGUCUCGGAGGGGGAAGCUCCGGGUCGGGCCGUGACGCGCCUCUCGGCACAACUUUCCGCGGAAGUGGUAGGCGUUGACCUGCCCGCCGCGGGCCGUAUUUUCUACAAGUCUUGAAGAAAACCUGAAGUCUGAAGAUCAAAACAAAAUGAAAAGCAAAACUUUCAACAACGGAUCUCUUGGCUCUG